UACAGAGGUCUCAAGCGUUGUUCGGAUUCAUUGGGCGUAAAGGGUGCGUAGGUGGCGGGGUUAGUCAGGUGUGAAUCUCGGGGCUCAACCCCGAAACUGCACUUGAUACUGCCUUGCUAGAGUACUGGAGAGGAGAUUGGAAUUUACGGUGUAGCAGUGAAAUGCGCAGAUAUCGGGAGGAACACCGGUGGCGAAGGCGGUUCUCUGGGCCUUACCUGACGGCUGAGGA
rnacentral:rRNA from 1 species